rnacentral:rRNA from 1 species
UACGAAGGGGGCUAGCGUUGUUCGGAAUCACUGGGCGUAAAGCGCACGUAGGCGGAUCUUUAAGUCAGGGGUGAAAUCCCGAGGCUCAACCUCGGAACUGCCUUUGAUACUGGGGAUCUCGAGUCCGGGAGAGGUGAGUGGAACUGCGAGUGUAGAGGUGAAAUUCGUAGAUAUUCGCAAGAACACCAGUGGCGAAGGCGGCUCACUGGCCCGGUACUGACACUGAGGUGCGAAAGCGUGGGGAGCAAACAGG